GUUCAUAUACAUCAUACCAGACCAUUUCGCGGUAAUACAUUAAACAUUUAUACUGUAACUGCGAUAAUGUAUCAACACAAUUAAACCAAUCAAAACUUGAUUACACUUGCUUUUUGUUGAUUGGUUCUCUUAUUAGUCAUUAUUCAUUUGUAAAGACCGGAUUUAAUUGAUAUUGCAACUUUUUUUGCAAUAAAGAUAAAUCAGAGCUGAUUAAAUAUGUAGCCGAUAUAAAC